rnacentral:rRNA from 1 species
GACGAACCGUGGCGAACGUUGUUCGGAAUCACUGGGCUUAAAGGGCGCGUAGGCGGGCGCGUCAGUCGGCGGUGAAAGCCCACGGGCUCAACCCGUGGCAGUGACCGCCGAGACGGCGCGUCUGGAGGGAGGUAGGGGCACGCGGAACUUCCGGUGGAGCGGUGAAAUGCGUAGAUAUCUGGAGGAACACCGGUGGCGAAGGCGGCAUCCUGGACCGGCAUUGACGCUGAGGCGCGAAAGCCAGGGGAGCAAACGGG